GGACUUUUGAGCUGUGAAGAAGGAGGAAAGACCUGGCUGGUAUUCCAAUCCAAGGCGACCAUUAAAAAGCAAUGGCUAAAUCUGUCGACGCAGCAUUAAGACAUGGAGAAAGACAAGCAGCUCUGGACAUGAUGGAUGAACCCGAGGUCUGGAGAGACAAGUCAUGGACAGAUGACUCAGAUACACACUCCAGUACCGAAAGUGAAGCUUCUAGACUAAAGCAACAGGGACAUCUAGUGGCGAAACAUCUCACUGCACCCCAACUCCGAGCUCCAGCUGAAGGCCAAACCUUUACUCUUAGUCACUUUCUCUAAAUGGCAGAAGCGAGGCGCCAACCAGCCAUAUUUAUCCUGAGAGGAAGUUCCUCGCGUCCUCCUUGCCUCUCUGUCUCCCCCUCUCUUCGCCAUCACAUUGUGUCGGCAGCGUGUCACGUCUGCCUGGCAAUUAUUAUGAAAUUAAAGCUAUUUUCCACGGCC